AUUUUACUCCCUCCGUUCCAUAUUAGUUGUCGCUGAAACGGAUGUAUCUAGACGUAGAUACAUCCGUUUCAGCGACAACUAAUAUGGAACGGAGGGAGUAGUAG
rfam:Triticum urartu cultivar G1812 contig151702, whole genome shotgun sequence.